rnacentral:rRNA from 1 species
CCUACGGGUGGCAGCAGUGAGGAAUAUUGGUCAAUGGACGCGAGUCUGAACCAGCCAAGUCGCGUGAAGGAAGACGGCCCUAUGGGUUGUAAACUUCUUUUGUCGGGGAGCAAAAGCAGCCACGCGUAUCGUUCUGAGAGUACCCUACGAAUAAGGAUCGGCUAACUCCGUGCCAGCAGCCGCGGUAAUACGGAGGAUUCGAGCGUUUUCCGGAUUUAUUGGGUUUAAAGGGUGCGUAGGCGGGAUGUUAAGUCAGCGGUGAAAUUUGGGGGCUCAACCUCUUCCGGGCCUUUGAUACUGGUUGGCUUGAGUGAGGGAGAAGUAUGCGGAAUGCGUGGUGUAGCGGUGAAAUGCUUAGAGAUCACGCAGAACUCCGAUUGCGAAGGCAGCAUACCGGCCCUCAACUGACGUUCAUGCACGAAAGUGUGGGUAUCGAACAGGAUUAGAUACCCGUGUAGUG